rnacentral:misc_RNA from 1 species
UACGUAGGGUGCAGGCGUUAAUCGGAAUUACUGGGCGUAAAGCGUGCGCAGGCGGUUUGUUAAGACAGAUGUGAAAUCCCCGGGCUUAACCUGGGAACUGCGUUUGUUACUGGCAAGCUUGAGUGCGGCAGAGGGGGGUGGAAUUCCACGUGUAGCAGUGAAAUGCGUAGAGAUGUGGAGGAACACCGAUGGCGAAGGCAGCCCCCUGGGUCGACACUGACGCUCAUGCACGAAAGCGUGGGGAGCAAACAGG